GAUUAGUGGCGAACGGGUGAGUAACACGUGAGUAACCUGCCCUUGACUCUGGGAUAAGCCUGGGAAACUGGGUCUAAUACCGGAUAUGACUGUCUGACGCAUGUCAGGUGGUGGAAAGCUUUUGUGGUUUUGGAUGGACUCGCGGCCUAUCAGCUUGUUGGUGGGGUAAUGGCCUACCAAGGCGACGACGGGUAGCCGGCCUGAGAGGGUGACCGGCCACACUGGGACUGAGACACGGCCCAGACUCCUACGGGAGGCAGCAGUGGGGAAUAUUGCACAAUGGGCGCAAGCCUGAUGCAGCGACGCCGCGUGAGGGAUGACGGCCUUCGGGUUGUAAACCUCUUUCAGUAGGGAAGAAGCGAAAGUGACGGUACCUGCAGAAGAAGCGCCGGCUAACUACGUGCCAGCAGCCGCGGUAAUACGUAGGGCGCAAGCGUUAUCCGGAAUUAUUGGGCGUAAAGAGCUCGUAGGCGGUUUGUCGCGUCUGCUGUGAAAGACCGGGGCUCAACUCCGGUUCUGCAGUGGGUACGGGCAGACUAGAGUGAUGUAGGGGAGACUGGAAUUCCUGGUGUAGCGGUGAAAUGCGCAGAUAUCAGGAGGAACACCGAUGGCGAAGGCAGGUCUCUGGGCAUUAACUGACGCUGAGGAGCGAAAGCAUGGGGAGCGAACAGGAUUAGAUACCCUGGUAGUCCAUGCCGUAAACGUUGGGCACUAGGUGUGGGGGACAUUCCACGUUUUCCGCGCCGUAGCUAACGCAUUAAGUGCCCCGCCUGGGGAGUACGGCCGCAAGGCUAAAACUCAAAGGAAUUGACGGGGGCCCGCACAAGCGGCGGAGCAUGCGGAUUAAUUCGAUGCAACGCGAAGAACCUUACCAAGGCUUGACAUGAACCGGUAAUACCUGGAAACAGGUGCCCCGCUUGCGGUCGGUUUACAGGUGGUGCAUGGUUGUCGUCAGCUCGUGUCGUGAGAUGUUGGGUUAAGUCCCGCAACGAGCGCAACCCUCGUUCUAUGUUGCCAGCGCGUUAUGGCGGGGACUCAUAGGAGACUGCCGGGGUCAACUCGGAGGAAGGUGGGGACGACGUCAAAUCAUCAUGCCCCUUAUGUCUUGGGCUUCACGCAUGCUACAAUGGCCGGUACAAAGGGUUGCGAUACUGUGAGGUGGAGCUAAUCCCAAAAAGCCGGUCUCAGUUCGGAUUGGGGUCUGCAACUCGACCCCAUGAAGUCGGAGUCGCUAGUAAUCGCAGAUCAGCAACGCUGCGGUGAAUACGUUCCCGGGCCUUGUACACACCGCCCGUCAAGUCACGAAAGUUGGUAACAC
rnacentral:rRNA from 1 species